CAUGAUUUUUUUUCUCUCUAUAGGGUUUAUUUGAGGUGGCUUCUUUCUUUAUUUUUUAUUGGCUUUUAAUUGUCUUUUUUUAUUUCUUUGUUUUACACAGAGUUUGCAGCUAUAGGCACACAUUAUACUGAUUGAAACCUCUUUUCUUAUGCUUUGUGGUUGAUUUUAUUUUCCUUUUAUCAAUAUAUAAUAUUUUGUCAUUCAAAAUUUUUGUAUCAUAAAAGUCAUAAAGUUUAAG
rnacentral:lncRNA from 1 species